GAUGAACUUUGGCGGCGUGCCUAACACAUGCAAGUCGAGUGCGUCUGAUUUGAUGCUUGCAUUAAUGAAAGAUGAGCGGCGGACGGGUGAGUAACGCGUGGGUAACCUGCCCUAUACACAUGGAUAUUAUACUGAAAAGUUUACUAAUACAUGAUAAUAUAUAUUUACGGCAUCGUAGAUAUAUCAAAGUGUUAGCGGUAUAGGAUGGACCCGCGUCUGAUUAGCUAGGUGGUGAGAUAAAUGCCCACCAAGGCGACGAUCAGUACCCGACCUGAGAGGGGGAUCGGCCACAUUGAAACUGAGACACGAUCCAAACUCCUACGGGAGGCAGCAAAGGGGAAUAUUGCACAAUGGGCGCGAGCCUGAUGCACCAACCCCGCGAGAACGAUGAAGGUCUUCGGAUCAUAAAGUUCUGUUGCAGGGGAAGAUAAUGACGGUACCCUGUGAGAGAAGCCCCGGCUAACUACGCGCCAACAACCGCGGUAAUACAUAGGGGGCUAGCGUUAUCCCGGAUUUACUGGGCGUAAAGGGUGCGUAGGUGGUCUUUCAAGUCGGUGGUUAAAGGCUACGGCUCAACCGUAGUUAGCCUCCGAAACUGGAAGACUUGAGUGCAGGAGAGGAAAGUGGAAUUCCCAGUGUAGCGGUGAAAUGCGUAGAUAUUGGGAGGAACACCAGUAGCGAAGGCGGCUUUCUGGACUGCAACUGACACUGAGGCACGAAAGCGUGGGCAGCAAACAGGAUUAGAUACCCUGGUAGUCCACGCUGUAAACGAUGAGUACUAGGUGUCGGGGGUUACCCCCCCGGUGCCGCAGCUAACGCAUUAAGUACUCCGCCUGGGGAGUACGCACGCAAGUGUGAAACUCAAAGGAAUUGACGGGGACCCGCACAAGUAGCGGAGCAUGUGGUUUAAUUCGAAGCAACGCGAAGAACCUUACCUAAGCUUGACAUCCCUUAGACCGGUGUUUAAUCACACCUUCCCUUCGGGGCUGAGGUGACAGGUGGUGCAUGGUUGUCGUCAGCUCGUGUCGUGAGAUGUUGGGUUAAGUCCCGCAACGAGCGCAACCCUUGUCUUUAGUUGCCAGCAUUCAGUUGGGCACUCUAGAGAGACUGCCAGGGAUAACCUGGAGGAAGGUGGGGAUGACGUCAAAUCAUCAUGCCCCUUAUGCUUAGGGCUACACACGUGCUACAAUGGGUGGUACAGAGGGUUGCCAAACCGUGAGGUGGAGCUAAUCCCUUAAAGCCAUUCUCAGUUCGGAUUGUAGGCUGAAACUCGCCUACAUGAAGCUGGAGUUACUAGUAAUCGCAGAUCAGAAUGCUGCGGUGAAUGCGUUCCCGGGUCU
rnacentral:rRNA from 1 species